AACGAACGCUGGCGGCAGGCCUCAAACAUGCAAGUCUAGGGGGUGUAGCAAUACAUCACCGGCGGACGGGUGCGUAACACGUGGGAAUAUACCUUUUGGUUCGGAACAACGCAGGGAAACUUGCGCUAAUACCGAAUGUGCCCUUACGGGGAAAGAUUUAUCGCCAAAAGGGAUUAGCCCGCGUAGGAUUAGCUAGUUGGUGAGGUAAUGGCUCACCAAGGCUCCGAUCCUUAGCUGUUCUGAGAGGAAGAUCAGCCACACUGGGACUGAGACACGGCCCAGACUCCUACGGGAGGCAGCAGUUGGGAAUCUUGGACAAUGGGGGAAACCCUGAUCCAGCCAUGCCGCGUGA
rnacentral:rRNA from 1 species